rnacentral:rRNA from 1 species
AUGGACGGAUUCUCCUUUUAUGUUGUGGACGUUGAGGAGAAAACUCUUGUUGUUAUGGAUCCAGCAGAGACAAGCAUUCAUGAUGAUGAGAUGAGUGUCAAACAUGAGGGUAAUGUGACCCAGGUACUAAAAAUGCCUCGAACAGUCCUCCGUAAUCACUUCGCAGACUGGGAUGUCCCAGAGCUCGGCUGGAGCAUCAUAUAUGCCUACAACAUGAAUGAGCCAUGUAAUAUCGAGGACAGCUGGAUCUACCUUGGUCACUACUGGAGUACAUACAAUGGCCUGUAUCUCGAGAGGCAGCUUGGUGAGUAUGAGCUGGCUUACCUGAAGAAGCAGUUUGAGUAUGAGGUGAUUUCGAUGAACGGCAACAAGGGUGAACUCCCAAGCUUCAUGAUCGAGGAAGUCCUGUUCUGA